UGCGGGGUCUGCUUGAUGGUAGAGCACUUGCCUAGCGUGCAGGAGAACGUGGGUUCGAGCCCCAGCAACGCAA
rnacentral:tRNA from 1 species